rnacentral:rRNA from 1 species
CAGCCGCGGUAAUACGUAGGGUGCAAGCGUUGUCCGGAAUUAUUGGGCGUAAAGAGCUCGUAGGCGGUCUGUCGCGUCUGCUGUGAAAACUCGGGGCUUAACCCCGGGCCUGCAGUGGGUACGGGCAGACUAGAGUGCGGUAGGGGAGACUGGAAUUCCUGGUGUAGCGGUGAAAUGCGCAGAUAUCAGGAGGAACACCGGUGGCGAAGGCGGGUCUCUGGGCCGUAACUGACGCUGAGGAGCGAAAGCAUGGGGAGCGAACAGGAUUAGAUACCCUGGUAGUCCAUGCCGUAAACGUUGGGCGCUAGGUGUGGGGCUCUUUCCACGAGUUCCGUGCCGCAGCUAACGCAUUAA